rnacentral:rRNA from 1 species
GACGAAGGGGGCUAGCGUUGUUCGGAAUUACUGGGCGUAAAGCGCACGUAGGCGGAAUGUUAAGUCAGGGGUGAAAUCCCGGGGCUCAACCCCGGAACUGCCUUUGAUACUGGCAUUCUCGAGUCCGGAAGAGGUGAGUGGAAUUCCGAGUGUAGAGGUGAAAUUCGUAGAUAUUCGGAGGAACACCAGUGGCGAAGGCGGCUCACUGGUCCGGUACUGACGCUGAGGUGCGAAAGCGUGGGGAGCAAACAGG